rnacentral:rRNA from 1 species
UGGGGAAUAUUGCACAAUGGGCGCAAGCCUGAUGCAGCCAUGCCGCGUGUAUGAAGAAGGCCUUCGGGUUGUAAAGUACUUUCAGCGGGGAGGAAGGGAGUAAAGUUAAUACCUUUGCUCAUUGACGUUACCCGCAGAAGAAGCACCGGCUAACUCCGUGCCAGCAGCCGCGGUAAUACGGAGGGUGCAAGCGUUAAUCGUAAUUACUGGGCGUAAAGCGCACGCAGGCGGUUUGUUAAGUCAGAUGUGAAAUCCCCGGGCUCAACCUGGGAACUGCAUCUGAUACUGGCAAGCUUGAGUCUCGUAGAGGGGGGUAGAAUUCCAGGUGUAGCGGUGAAAUGCGUAGAGAUCUGGAGGAAUACCGGUGGCGAAGGCGGCCCCCUGGACGAAGACUGACGCUCAGGUGCGAAAGCGUGGGGAGCAAACA